rnacentral:rRNA from 1 species
UACGAAGGGGGCUAGCGUUGCUCGGAAUCACUGGGCGUAAAGCGCACGUAGGCGGCUCUUUAAGUCAGGGGUGAAAUCCUGGAGCUCAACUCCAGAACUGCCCUUGAUACUGAGGAGCUUGAGUCCGGGAGAGGUGAGUGGAACUGCGAGUGUAGAGGUGAAAUUCGUAGAUAUUCGCAAGAACACCAGUGGCGAAGGCGGCUCACUGGCCCGGUACUGACGCUGAGGUGCGAAAGCGUGGGGAGCAAACAGGAUUAGAAACCCCGGGUGAGUCCCAGAACCGAACG